rnacentral:misc_RNA from 1 species
GAAAUGCGAUAAGUAAUGUGAAUUGCAGAAUUCCGUGAAUCAUCGAAUCUUUGAACGCACAUUGCGCCCUCUGGCAUUCCGGGGGGCAUGCCUGUCCGAGCGUCAUUACGCACCCUCAAGCCCGGCUUGUGUGAUGGGCCCCGGCGUCUCGUUCGCGAGACGGGCCCGAAAGGCAGCGGCGGCGUCGACCCGAUGAGCCGGAGCGUAUGGGGACUUCUGUCACACGUUCGCGGUGCGGACCGGCGCCUGCUUGACUUUUCUGAUUAUCCAGGUUGACCUCGGAUCAGGUAGGGAUACCCGCUGAACUUAAGC